CGGGUGCUAUAAUGCAGUCGAGCGAACUGAUUAGAAGCUUGCUUCUAUGACGUUAGCGGCGGACGGGUGAGUAACACGUGGGCAACCUGCCUGUAAGACUGGGAUAACUUCGGGAAACCGAAGCUAAUACCGGAUAGGAUCUUCUCCUUCAUGGGAGAUGAUUGAAAGAUGGUUUCGGCUAUCACUUACAGAUGGGCCCGCGGUGCAUUAGCUAGUUGGUGAGGUAACGGCUCACCAAGGCCACGAUGCAUAGCCGACCUGAGAGGGUGAUCGGCCACACUGGGACUGAGACACGGCCCAGACUCCUACGGGAGGCAGCAGUAGGGAAUCUUCCGCAAUGGACGAAAGUCUGACGGAGCAACGCCGCGUGAGUGAUGAAGGCUUUCGGGUCGUAAAACUCUGUUGUUAGGGAAGAACAAGUACAAGAGUAACUGCUUGUACCUUGACGGUACCUAACCAGAAAGCCACGGCUAACUACGUGCCAGCAGCCGCGGUAAUACGUAGUGCAAGCGUUAUCCGGAAUUAUUGGGCGUAAAGCGCGCGCAGGCGGUUUCUUAAGUCUGAUGUGAAAAGCCCAACGGCUCAAACCCGUGGAGGGUCACUUGGAAACUGGGGAACUUGAGUUGCAGAAAGAAGAAAAGCGGAAUUCCACGUGUAGCGGUGAAAUGCGUAGAGAUGUGGAGGAACACCAGUGGCGAAGGCGGCUUUUUGGUCUGUAACUGACGCUGAGGCGCGAAAGCGUGGGGAGCAAACAGGAUUAGAUACCCCUGGUAGUCCACGCCGUAAACGAUGAGUGCUAAGUGUUAGAGGGUUUCCGCCCUUUAGUGCUGCAGCUAACGCAUUAAGCACUCCGCCUGGGGAGUACGGUCGCAAGACUGAAACUCAAAGGAAUUGACGGGGGCCCGCACAAGCGGUGGAGCAUGUGGUUUAAUUCGAAGCAACGCGAAGAACCUUACCAGGUCUUGACAUCCUCUGACAACUCUAGAGAUAGAGCGUGCCCCUUCGGGGAC
rnacentral:rRNA from 1 species